CGCCCUCCUCCUUCCCCGCGACGACUCUCUCUUCCCUCUCCGAGGACCUGCGCUCCUCUCUCUCCGACGCCCUCCUCCCUCCCCGCCGACGCUGUCCUCCCUCCCCGCGACGACGCCCUCGUCCCUCCCCGCGACGACGCGCGCUUCCCUCGAUCUCUGUAGAUCUUGGAGAUUUCGUGCCGUGAUUCUCUGCUUUUUCUCACUUGAAAGGGGCCCUCAGUCCGUCGAUCGAUUUUAACCUCCGUGCGAAAAUUGUAGAAAGGAGGAGGGGCGAAACAUCUCACCCUCUCUAUUCGUUUCUCAAUCUCUUUAUUUUCCAAACUUUGAACAUUGUAGAGAAAACUCCACAACGCAGUAAUGGAGUACGUGAAUCCGUUAACAGGAUUUCGCUUAGAUGGCCGCCGCCCAAAUGAAAUGAGACAGAUUCGAGGGGAGAUUGGGGUCGUAGCAAAAGCUGACGGGUCCGCUUUGUUUGAGAUGGGGAACACUAAGGUCAUUGCUGCUGUCUAUGGGCCUCGAGAGGUCCAGAACAGGAGCCAGCAAAUUAACGACCAAGUCCUGGUACGCUGCGAGUAUAGCAUGGCUAAUUUUAGCACAGGAGACCGGAUCAGAAAACCAAAGGGAGACAGGCGGUCUACAGAAAUAUCUUUAGUAAUUCGCCAAACAAUGGAGGCAUGUAUUAUGACCCAUCUAAUGCCAAGGUCCCAGAUUGAUAUAUUCGUUCAAGUUCUUCAAGCUGAUGGUGGAACGAGAUCAGCCUGCAUCAAUGCUGCAACAUUAGCAUUAGCAGAGGCUGGGAUACCGAUGCGUGAUCUUGUAACCUCCUGUAGUGCUGGAUAUCUCUGUACAACGCCUUUACUAGAUCUGAACUACGUUGAAGAUAAUGCUGGGGGUCCAGAUGUCACUGUUGGGAUACUAGCAAAGAUGGACAAAGUGACUCUUCUUCAGAUGGAUGCAAAAUUGCCAAUGGAUAUAUUUGAAAAUGUCAUGCAGCUUGCAAUCGAAGGAUGCAAAGCAAUAGCUCAUUACAUUCGAGAUGUGAUGUCCCACUUGCUCUCCUUUUAUGUGUUAAUCACUCCAUCAGUCAUUUAAUUUUCUCACAUCAUCAUAUUUAAGAAGUUGCUUGCAUGUUGAUUUCAAACCAUUGAAGAAUUAGUAACCAGUUACAUGUUUUGCUAUAUGGAUCAGGUCCUUUUAGAGCAUACAAAACAACUGGAGUGCCGGAAAGGCGUUUAAUACACAGUCUAUUUCAGCGAAUGCCUAUAUGAGUACUUUGAUUCACUCCCGAAGAAUUUGAGUUCAAAUGCGUAAACGGGCACUGUCACUAAAAUUAUAUUCUAUGAAGGAUUAGCCUGUGGCUUUAAACUGAAGAAGACAUAAAUAGCAAAGAAAACAGAAGAGAUGUCUUACGUGAUGCUUAAAUGCUGUCACUUUGAUAUGAACUUCAUCAGAAUGAUUUGUUUAUAUGAUUUUAAUUAAAGGUCAUAGAUAGAUUUUGGAAUGCUUGAAACCUGAGUUUGCGUCAGUGUACUUGAUCCAGGCUAGAGGGUUCAAGGGUAUAACCUAUUCAUGAGUAUAUUUUGUAGUUCUCAAAAUGUUGGCAAAUAUUAAAAGUUCGAAGUGUUUUGGCGAACUUUAGAAGUUCGAAGUGUUUGUUGCCUCUCUGUGAUCGACGCUGGUAAAAUGUAUGAUUCAGUUUCAA